AUGUUCUACUUCUCUCACAGUCCCACUAUCUCGUUCUCUGACUUCCCAAAUUCUUUCACUCUUCUCGUUCGCUCACUUCUCUCACUCUUUUAUUCCCACCCAGUUCUUCACUCAGAAAUCAAAGAUUCUCGAAGGUUCUCGCUAACGUGGUAUCACUCUCUCAGUUCUCUCACUCAGGUGAUUAAUGUCUUUGAACCAGUUCUAUCACUCUACAGAGAAUGA